rnacentral:rRNA from 1 species
AUUGAACGCUGGCGGCAGGCCUAACACAUGCAAGUCGAGCGGAUGAAGGGAGCUUGCUCCUGGAUUCAGCGGCGGACGGGUGAGUAAUGCCUAGGAAUCUGCCUGGUAGUGGGGGAUAACGUCCGGAAACGGGCGCUAAUACCGCAUACGUCCUGAGGGAGAAAGUGGGGGAUCUUCGGACCUCACGCUAUCAGAUGAGCCUAGGUCGGAUUAGCUAGUUGGUGGGGUAAAGGCCUACCAAGGCGACGAUCCGUAACUGGUCUGAGAGGAUGAUCAGUCACACGGGAACUGAGACACGGUCCAGACUCCUACGGGAGGCAGCAGUGGGGAAUAUUGGACAAUGGGCGAAAGCAUGAUCCAGCGAUGCCGCGUGUGUGAAGAAGGUCUUCGGAUUGUAAAGCACGUUAAGUUGGGAGGAAGGGCAGUAAGUUAAGACCUUGCUGUUUUGACGGUACCAACAGAAUAAGCACCGGCUAACUUCGUG